rnacentral:rRNA from 1 species
AGUGGAUGGGGAGCAACCUAGUUGUGCGUGUGUAAAGGUAGUGCCAAGAAAAGCGAUGAUCAUGUUGAAAAUCAAUUCCCGGUACCCGAAACCGACACAGGUGGGCAAGUAGAGAAUACUAAGGGGCGCGAGGUAACUCUCUCCAAGGAACUCGGCAAAAUGACCCCGUAACUUAGGGAGAAGGGGUGCCACCGAGAGGUGGUCGCAGUGAAGAGGCCCAGGCGACUGUUUAGCAAAAACAUAGGUCUCUGCAAACUCGAAAGAGGAGGUAUAGGGGCUGACGCCUGCCCAGUGCCGGAAGGUUAAAGAAGUUGGUCAGUCUUAGGAUGAAGCUAGCGACUGAAGCCCCGGUGAACGGCGGCCGUAACUAUAACGGUCCUAAGGUAGCGAAAUUCCUUGUCGGGUAAGUUCCGACCCGCACGAAAGGCGUAACGAUCUGGGCGCUGUCUCGGAGAGAGGCUCGGCGAAAUAGGAUUGUCUGUGAAGAUACGGACUACCUGCAUUUGGACAGAAAGACCCUAUGAAGCUUUACUAUAGCUUGGAAUUGUGUUCGGGCUUCCUGUGCGCAGGAUAGGUGGGAGGCGUAGAAGGUAUUCUUGUGGGGAUACUGGAGCCAACGGUGAGAUACCACUCUCAGGAGGCUAGAAUUCUAACUUAAUUAAGGACAGUUUCAGGUGGGUAGUUUGACUGGGGCGGUCGCCUCCAAAAAGGUAACGGAGGCGUACAAAGGUUCCCUCAGACUGGUUGGAAAUCAGUCGAAGAGUGCAAAGGCAGAAGGGAGCUUGACUGCGAGAAGUACAGUUCGAGCAGGGUGGAAACACGGUCUUAGUGAUCCGACGGUGCUGUGUGGGAGGGCCGUCGCUCAACGGAUAAAAGUUACUCUAAGGAUAACAGGCUGAUCUCCCCCAAGAGUUCACAUCGACGGGGAGGUUUGGCACCUCGAUGUCGGCUCAUCGCAACCUGGGGCGGAAGUACGUCCCAAGGGUUGGGCCUUCGCCCAUUAAAGCGGUACGUGAGCUGGGUUCAGAACGUCGUGAGACAGUUCGGUCCAUAUCCGAUGUAGGCGUGAGAAUAUUGAGAGGAGCCUUCCUUAGUACGAGAGGACCGGGAAGGACGCACCGCUGGUGUACCUGUUAUGAUGCCAAUUGUAAACGCAGGGUAGCCAAGUGCGGAGAGGAUAACCGCUGAAAGCAUCUAAGUGGGAAGCCCACCUCAAGAUGAGUAUUCUGGUGUAAGGUCACGGGAAGACGACCCGUAAAUAGGCACGAGGUGGAAGUGCAGAGAUGUAUGAAGCCGAAGUGUACUAAUAGACCGUCGGCUUGACC